rnacentral:rRNA from 1 species
GACGUAGGGCGCGAGCGUUGUCCGGAUUUAUUGGGCGUAAAGAGCUCGUAGGCGGCUUGUCGCGUCGACUGUGAAAUCCCGCGGCUCAACUGCGGGUCUGCAGUCGAUACGGGCAGGCUAGAGUUCGGUAGGGGAGACUGGAAUUCCUGGUGUAGCGGUGAAAUGCGCAGAUAUCAGGAGGAACACCGAUGGCGAAGGCAGGUCUCUGGGCCACUACUGACGCUGAGAAGCGAAAGCGUGGGGAGCGAACAGG